UACGUAGGGGGCAAGCGUUGUCCGGAAUCAUUGGGCGUAAAGAGCGUGUAGGCGGCUCGAUAAGUCUGCUGUGAAAGUCCAGGGCUCAACCCUGGAAGGCCGGUGGAAACUGUCGGGCUAGAGUCCGGAAGAGGCGAGUGGAAUUCCCGGUGUAGCGGUGAAAUGCGCAGAUAUUGGGAGGAACACCGGGUGGCGAAGGCGGUUCUCUGGGCCUGUUCUGACGCUGAGGAGCGAAA
rnacentral:rRNA from 1 species